GACACAAUGGUAGAGUGGUCUAUUGUGUUUCGUUGCUAGCGAAGUUCCUUUGGGAGCAGGAGUUCGAAUCUCUCUAGUGCCC